rnacentral:rRNA from 1 species
AUGAAAAUUUUUUUGCUUGCUACUUGCUGGAGUAGCAAUUGUGGAAAUGAUGAAUCAGCAAAGGUCACAACUGAUACAAGCUUAAACACACCAUUCAAGGGACACUGGGUAUCUAGAGUUGUGUUCUGGUGGCUGAGAUGCUGUCUCGUCCUUCUCACUGCGACCUUGGCCCGCCAGAUCCGCCACCUUGUGCUGCAACAACAUCAUCUACUGUUGUUGGCUCCCUCGGUGGCACCACGGGGUUGUGACAAUCUGCCCAAAGUUUUCGUGGGCUCUCCCGAAAAGAAGGGAGGCGUUUUGGGCUUCAAUCUCACUGCCAGCGUGACACCACUUUGGUUGGUACACUACUUCACAAGAAAAAUCCUACACAUCGUGGCUGAGGAAUUGAUUCAGAACGCUAUUAUUGCCUCGGAUUCCAAGCAGGUGAUCAAUGACAUUGAAAUAGCUAAUCAAGGAGAUAUAGCUGCUUUCACUCAUCGGAAGAAACUCCCGGCUCCGGUAAAAACACUUUGCAAGCCGCCUCCUCCCACGCUCACGCUCGCCGGCGGCGGCCCCAACCUCCUCUCUGAGAUCCUCCUCCGCCUCCCUCUGGAGCCGUCCUCCCUCCCCCGCGCCUCCGUCGUCUCCAAGCGCUGGCGCCGCCUCAUAUCUGACCCGGGCUUCUCCCGCCGCUUCCGCCUCCACCACCGUCACAAGCCUCCUCUCCUUGGGUUCUUUGAGGAAUUAUUUGAGGCCGCUCCAGGUCCUGGUGUGGGACCAGGGACGGAGCUGCUUGAUGACCCCAUUGUUAUAGACAUGACCCCAGCAGAUCUUUUUUCUAGCUUCGUCCCUGUGUGGGACCAUAUCACUGGCGAACUGCACCACAUUGCCGCUCCCCCGGGAUUCGAUCCGAUGGAGACCCCGACUAAGAGCAUCUCCAACAGACGCCCCAAACGACGCGCGCGCGCGGUGGUCUUGGUAUGCACAGAGACAAACAACCAACAACAUACACGAGCGAUCGCCCGUGUUUACCCGUCAGAGACUGGCGGGUGGGGCGAUCUAAUCUCAACACUGAUUCCGCCUAAGGCAUCUCCGGGUUCAGAUCGACCUCCCUGCAUUGUUUUCACGGGACCUCCUGGUGUCCAAGUGGGACAUUCCCUUUACUGGUUGCUUUUUGAAAGUCUGGCUGGCAUCCUCGAGUUUGAUUUGGAUAGACAGAGCUUAAGUGUGAUACAUGUGCCAGUGGACAUCGACAAUUACCACCUCACAGUUAUGCGGGCGGAGGGUGGAGGCCUUGGUUUCAUUUAUCUUUCAGGCUUGAGCGCCCAAUUAUGGAGGAGAAAAAUCAAUUGUGAUGGUGUUGCUUCAUGGGUGCCGGGAAAAUCUAUUGAACUGGACAAGUUACUUUCCAUGAAUUCAAAGGAUAUAGGGUAUCCGAUGAUACAAGGGUUUGCUGAGGAGAAUAAUGUGGUCUUCCUGUUGACAGAUAUGGGUCUAUUCACGAUCCAGCUUGAGUCAUUGCAGUUCAAGAAACUUUGUGAAAUUGACUACUUGUCUUGCUAUUAUCCACUCGAAAGUGUCUUUGCUGCAGUGUUGGUUGAUAUCUUCAACAUAGAGCAAAGUUGUUCUAUAGCAUGGCGGUUGGUCGAGGAAAUGAUGGAGCUGGUCAUAUGGAUGUGCUAUAGUGAUGUAUUGAUUGAGCAGGUUUCUAGAGUUACAUUCUGGUGGCUGAGAUGUGGAAUGGCUUCUUGGGUUCCAUUUUCAUAUACUCGACGUGGCCGGAAAUUGAGCCUCUAUUUAGCAUGCACGAUGGUGGACUGUGAAGUGGACUAUGUUGGAAUUAAUCGCAUAAUUUGCUAUCUAGUUUGUGUACACAACUUGUCAGCCGCUGUGAAGGCGUUCAAUAAAUCAGUACGUUGUGGUUCAUUUGCUGUAUUGCACAUUAAUGCAAGCCCAUAUGUUGGUUGA